CCCUGGUGGUUCAAAAGGUAAAGAAUCUGCCUGCAAUGCAGGACACCCGGGUUCAAUUCCUGGGUCAGGAA
rnacentral:tRNA from 1 species